GGGUUGUGAGGUUAAGCGACUAAGCGUACACGGUGGAUGCCCUGGCAGUCAGAGGCGAUGAAGGACGUGCUAAUCUGCGAAAAGCGUCGGUAAGGUGAUAUGAACCGUUAUAACCGGCGAUGUCCGAAUGGGGAAACCCAGUGCAAUUCGUUGCACUAUCGUUAACUGAAUACAUAGGUUAACGAGGCGAACCGGGGGAACUGAAACAUCUAAGUACCCCGAGGAAAAGAAAUCAACCGAGAUUCCCCCAGUAGCGGCGAGCGAACGGGGAGCAGCCCAGAGUCUGAAUCAGCUUGUGUGUUAGUGGAACGGUCUGGAAAGUCCGACGGUACAGGGUGAUAGUCCCGUACACCAAAAUGCACAGGUUGUGAACUCGAAGAGUAGGGCGGGACACGUGGUAUCCUGUCUGAAUAUGGGGGGACCAUCCUCCAAGGCUAAAUACUCCUGACUGACCGAUAGUGAACCAGUACCGUGAGGGAAAGGCGAAAAGAACCCCGGCGAGGGGAGUGAAAAAGAACCUGAAACCGUGUACGUACAAGCAGUGGGAGCACCUUCGGGUGUGACUGCGUACCUUUUGUAUAAUGGGUCAGCGACUUAUAUUCUGUAGCAAGGUUAACCGUAUAGGGGAGCCGCAGGGAAACCGAGUCUUAACUGGGCGUUAAGUUGCAGGGUAUAGACCCGAAACCCGGUGAUCUAGCCAUGGGCAGGUUGAAGGUUGGGUAACACUAACUGGAGGACCGAACCGACUAAUGUUGAAAAAUUAGCGGAUGACUUGUGGCUGGGGGUGAAAGGCCAAUCAAACCGGGAGAUAGCUGGUUCUCCCCGAAAGCUAUUUAGGUAGCGCCUCGUGAAUUCAUCUUCGGGGGUAGAGCACUGUUUCGGCUAGGGGGUCAUCCCGACUUACCAACCCGAUGCAAACUACGAAUACCGAAGAAUGUUAUCACGGGAGACACACGGCGGGUGCUAACGUCCGUCGUGAAGAGGGAAACAACCCAGACCGCCAGCUAAGGUCCCAAAGUCAUGGUUAAGUGGGAAACGAUGUGGGAAGGCACAGACAGCCAGGAUGUUGGCUUAGAAGCAGCCAUCAUUUAAAGAAAGCGUAAUAGCUCACUGGUCGAGUCGGCCUGCGCGGAAGAUGUAACGGGGCUAAACCAUGCACCGAAGCUGCGGCAGCGACACUAUGUGUUGUUGGGUAGGGGAGCGUUCUGUAAGCCUGCGAAGGUGACCUGUGAGGGUUGCUGGAGGUAUCAGAAGUGCGAAUGCUGACAUAAGUAACGAUAAAGCGGGUGAAAAGCCCGCUCGCCGGAAGACCAAGGGUUCCUGUCCAACGUUAAUCGGGGCAGGGUGAGUCGACCCCUAAGGCGAGGCCGAAAGGCGUAGUCGAUGGGAAACAGGUUAAUAUUCCUGUACUUGGUGUUACUGCGAAGGGGGGACGGAGAAGGCUAUGUUAGCCGGGCGACGGUUGUCCCGGUUUAAGCAUGUAGGCUGGUUGUCCAGGCAAAUCCGGAUAAUCAAGGCUGAGGUGUGAUGACGAGGCACUACGGUGCUGAAGUAACAAAUGCCCUGCUUCCAGGAAAAGCCUCUAAGCAUCAGGUAACAUCAAAUCGUACCCCAAACCGACACAGGUGGUCAGGUAGAGAAUACCAAGGCGCUUGAGAGAACUCGGGUGAAGGAACUAGGCAAAAUGGUGCCGUAACUUCGGGAGAAGGCACGCUGGUGUGUAGGUGAAGCCCCUGCGGGUGGAGCUGAGACCAGUCGAAGAUACCAGCUGGCUGCAACUGUUUAUUAAAAACACAGCACUGUGCAAACACGAAAGUGGACGUAUACGGUGUGACGCCUGCCCGGUGCCGGAAGGUUAAUUGAUGGGGUUAUCCGUAAGGAGAAGCUCUUGAUCGAAGCCCCGGUAAACGGCGGCCGUAACUAUAACGGUCCUAAGGUAGCGAAAUUCCUUGUCGGGUAAGUUCCGACCUGCACGAAUGGCGUAAUGAUGGCCAGGCUGUCUCCACCCGAGACUCAGUGAAAUUGAACUCGCUGUGAAGAUGCAGUGUACCCGCGGCAAGACGGAAAGACCCCGUGAACCUUUACUAUAGCUUGACACUGAACAUUGAGCCUUGAUGUGUAGGAUAGGUGGGAGGCUUUGAAGCGUGGACGCCAGUCUGCGUGGAGCCAACCUUGAAAUACCACCCUUUAAUGUUUGAUGUUCUAACGUUGGCCCCUUACCGGGGUUGCGGACAGUGUCUGGUGGGUAGUUUGACUGGGGCGGUCUCCUCCCAAAGCGUAACGGAGGAGCACGAAGGUUAGCUAAUCCUGGUCGGACAUCAGGAGGUUAGUGCAAUGGCAUAAGCUAGCUUGACUGCGAGCGUGACGGCGCGAGCAGGUGCGAAAGCAGGUCAUAGUGAUCCGGUGGUUCUGAAUGGAAGGGCCAUCGCUCAACGGAUAAAAGGUACUCCGGGGAUAACAGGCUGAUACCGCCCAAGAGUUCAUAUCGACGGCGGUGUUUGGCACCUCGAUGUCGGCUCAUCACAUCCUGGGGCUGAAGUAGGUCCCAAGGGUAUGGCUGUUCGCCAUUUAAAGUGGUACGCGAGCUGGGUUUAGAACGUCGUGAGACAGUUCGGUCCCUAUCUGCCGUGGGCGCUGGAGAAUUGAGGGGGGCUGCUCCUAGUACGAGAGGACCGGAGUGGACGCAUCACUGGUGUUCGGGUUGUCAUGCCAAUGGCACUGCCCGGUAGCUAAAUGCGGAAGAGAUAAGUGCUGAAAGCAUCUAAGCACGAAACUUGCCCCGAGAUGAGUUCUCCCUGAGACUUUAAGUCUCCUGAAGGAACGUUAAAGACGAUGACGUUGAUAGGCCGGGUGUGUAAGCGCAGCGAUGCGUUGAGCUAACCGGUACUAAUGAACCGUGAGGCUUAACCUUACAACGCCGAAG
rnacentral:rRNA from 1 species